rfam:Stegodyphus mimosarum contig40284, whole genome shotgun sequence.
GCUUUCGUGGUGUAACGGUCAGCAUACUCGAUGUGUAUUCCAGUGGUCCGUGGUUCGAAUCCCGGCGAGGGCA